ACUACGGGCGGCAGCAGUGAGGAAUAUUGGUCAAUGGGCGUAAGCCUGAACCAGCCAAGUCGCGUGAGGGAUGAAGGUUCUAUGGAUCGUAAACCUCUUUUAUAAGGGAAUAAAGUGCGGGACGUGUCCCGUUUUGUAUGUACCUUAUGAAUAAGGAUCGGCUAACUCCGUGCCAGCAGCCGCGGUAAUACGGAGGGUCCGAGCGUUAUCCGGAUUUAUUGGGUUUAAAGGGUGCGUAGGCGGCCUUUUAAGUCAUCGGGGAAAGUUUGGGGCUCAACCAUAGAAUUGCCGUUGAAACUGGGAGGCUUGAGUAUGUUGAAGGCAGGCGGAAUGCGUGGUGUAGCGGUGAAAUGCUUAGAUAUCACGCAGAACCCCGAUUGCGAAGGCAGCCUGCCAAGCCAUGACUGACGCUGAUGCACGAAAGCGUGGGGAUCAAACAGGAUUAGAUACCCCGGUAGUC
rnacentral:rRNA from 1 species